rnacentral:rRNA from 1 species
UACGUAGGGGGCAAGCGUUGUCCGGAAUCAUUGGGCGUAAAGAGCGCGUAGGCGGCCCAGUAAGUCCGCUCUGAAAGUCAGGGGCUCAACCCCUGGAUGCGGGUGGAUACUGCUGGGCUAGAGUCCGGAAGAGGCGAGUGGAAUUCCUGGUGUAGCGGUGAAAUGCGUAGAUAUCGGAAGGAACAUCAGUGGCGAAAGCGACUUCCUGGACCAAUACUGACGCUCAUGUGCGAAAGCGUGGGGAGCAAACAGG